rnacentral:rRNA from 1 species
UACGUAGGGCGCAAGCGUUAUCCGGAAUUAUUGGGCGUAAAGCGCGCGCAGGCGGUCCUUUAAGUCUGAUGUGAAAGCCCACGGCUCAACCGUGGAAGGUCAUUGGAAACUGGGGGACUUGAGUACAGAAGAGGAAAGCGGAAUUCCACGUGUAGCGGUGAAAUGCGUAGAGAUGUGGAGGAACACCAGUGGCGAAGGCGGCUUUCUGGUCUGUAACUGACGCUGAGGCGCGAAAGCGUGGGGAGCAAACAGG